rnacentral:tRNA from 1 species
AGCUCAGCUGGGAGAGCACCUGCUUUGCAAGCAGGGGGUCGUCGGUUCGAUCCCCACA